rnacentral:misc_RNA from 1 species
GCCAAAGCCUUAAAAUAUGCUUUCUACCGUCUACUUCCAAAAUUGGCAGCUAACCCAUUUAUUUUUUUAAGCAUACAAGUCUAAUGGCCCCAUCAUCUGUGUUUUUGGUCAAAGAAUAAGCAUAAAUCAUAUCUGCAUUUCUGUUCAUUUUUCUCUCUUUCACACACACAUAUUCAGGCACAAGAUGACUCUAGAAGAACCAGAGCCAAACCACAUUUCAGAUCACAU